rnacentral:rRNA from 1 species
UACGGAGGAUGCAAGCGUUAUCCGGAAUCAUUGGGUUUAAAGGGUCCGUAGGCGGUCAUAUAAGUCAGUGGUGAAAGCCCAUCGCUCAACGAUGGAACGGCCAUUGAUACUGUUUGACUUGAAUUAUUAGGAAGUAACUAGAAUAUGUAGUGUAGCGGUGAAAUGCUUAGAGAUUACAUGGAAUACCAAUUGCGAAGGCAGGUUACUACUAAUAUAUUGACGCUGAUGGACGAAAGCGUGGGGAGCAAAAGGG